UGAUUGGUGCUUGCAUCAUGAUUUACAUUUGAGUGAGUGGCGAACUGGUGAGUAACACGUGGGAAACCUGCCCAGAAGCGGGGGAUAACACCUGGAAACAGAUGCUAAUACCGCAUAACAACUUGGACCGCAUGGUCCGAGCUUGAAAGAUGGCUUCGGCUAUCACUUUUGGAUGGUCCCGCGGCGUAUUAGCUAGAUGGUGGGGUAACGGCUCACCAUGGCAAUGAUACGUAGCCGACCUGAGAGGGUAAUCGGCCACAUUGGGACUGAGACACGGCCCAAACUCCUACGGGAGGCAGCAGUAGGGAAUCUUCCACAAUGGACGAAAGUCUGAUGGAGCAACGCCGCGUGAGUGAAGAAGGGUUUCGGCUCGUAAAACUCUGUUGUUAAAGAAGAACAUAUCUGAGAGUAACUGUUCAGGUAUUGACGGUAUUUAACCAGAAAGCCACGGCUAACUACGUGCCAGCAGCCGCGGUAAUACGUAGGUGGCAAGCGUUGUCCGGAUUUAUUGGGCGUAAAGCGAGCGCAGGCGGUUUUUUAAGUCUGAUGUGAAAGCCUUCGGCUCAACCGAAGAAGUGCAUCGGAAACUGGGAAACUUGAGUGCAGAAGAGGACAGUGGAACUCCAUGUGUAGCGGUGAAAUGCGUAGAUAUAUGGAAGAACACCAGUGGCGAAGGCGGCUGUCUGGUCUGUAACUGACGCUGAGGCUCGAAAGUAUGGGUAGCAAACAGGAUUAGAUACCCUGGUAGUCCAUACCGUAAACGAUGAAUGCUAAGUGUUGGAGGGUUUCCGCCCUUCAGUGCUGCAGCUAACGCAUUAAGCAUUCCGCCUGGGGAGUACGGCCGCAAGGCUGAAACUCAAAGGAAUUGACGGGGGCCCGCACAAGCGGUGGAGCAUGUGGUUUAAUUCGAAGCUACGCGAAGAACCUUACCAGGUCUUGACAUACUAUGCAAAUCUAAGAGAUUAGACGUUCCCUUCGGGGACAUGGAUACAGGUGGUGCAUGGUUGUCGUCAGCUCGUGUCGUGAGAUGUUGGGUUAAGUCCCGCAACGAGCGCAACCCUUAUUAUCAGUUGCCAGCAUUAAGUUGGGCACUCUGGUGAGACUGCCGGUGACAAACCGGAGGAAGGUGGGGAUGACGUCAAAUCAUCAUGCCCCUUAUGACCUGGGCUACACACGUGCUACAAUGGAUGGUACAACGAGUUGCGAACUCGCGAGAGUAAGCUAAUCUCUUAAAGCCAUUCUCAGUUCGGAUUGUAGGCUGCAACUCGCCUACAUGAAGUCGGAAUCGCUAGUAAUCGCGGAUCAGCAUGCCGCGGUGAAUACGUUCCCGGGCCUUGUACACACCGCCCGUCACACCAUGAGAGUUUGUAACACCCAAAGUCG
rnacentral:rRNA from 2 species